GAUGAACGCUGGCGGCGUGCCUCAAACAUGCAAGUCGAGCGAGGCUAUGAAUUACCGCAAGGUAAGGCAUAGCCUAGCGGCGAACGGGGAGUAACACGUGGGUAACCUACCUGGAAGACAGGGAUAACGAUUCGAAAGGGUCGCUAAUACCUGAUAAUAUCCAUCUGCCGGAUGGCGGAGGGAAGAAAGGGGAAACCCGCUUUCAGAUGGGCCCGCGUCCCAUCAGCUAGUUGGUAAGGUAAAGGCUUACCAAGGCGACGACGGGUAGCCGGUCUGAGAGGAUGUACGGCCACACUGGGACUGAGAUACGGCCCAGACUCCUACGGGAGGCAGCAGUUGGGAAUCUUAGGCAAUGGACGAAAGUCUGACCUAGCGACGCCGCGUGAGGGAAGAAGGCCUCGGUUGGUAACUACUGUCAUGGGGAAGGAAGGAAGGUAGAGGUACCCGAACGAAGGAAGACCCCGCUAACUAACGUAGCCAGCAGCCGCCGGUAAAAGGUAGUAGUGUA
rnacentral:rRNA from 1 species